CGAUUUAACGCCUGUAUUGUCACGCAACCUGAGUAUAUAUAUAUAGCCGCUCUUCUGUGACAGCUGCCAGUCCCGUCUCUCCUGUCGCUGCCGAGAUCUUUACAAAAUGAAGGCCGUUGCUUUGCUGUGUCUCGCUGCCACUUUGGCUGUCAGUGCUGCCUUACCUGCAGCUGCGCCAGUUCCUCCAGCUGCCCCGAUGGUCCCCUCUCCUGCCAUGAUCGAGGCCUUCAUCCCGACGCCCGAGGAGAUCCAGGCCCUCAACGCCCUCCACACCACGCCCGCCCCCGGGGUCGUGCCCACUCCAGGGGCCGCCCCCGUCGGACCUCCAACCAUGCCUCCUGCAGUAGCAAGUCUGAUCGCCAAGUACAAGGCCGCAGUCGCAGCCUUCAUCCCUUCCACUGCAGCGCCUGUCUGAGCUGAUGCCUUCUCCGUGCGAGUGUCGAUCAGGCAAUAUACAAGUCACUUUCGCUUUUGUGAAUGGGUGGCAGAAGAAAAUUGUGAAUUAUGAAUAUGAAAGUAAAUUAAGAACGAGGACAUUAUUUUCAUUUAUAUAACUACCAUGCUAAUAUAUAACGAUGUAGGAAACUCCCAACAUUACAAUAGUUUAAAUAAA
rnacentral:misc_RNA from 1 species